rnacentral:rRNA from 1 species
AACGAACGCUGGCGGCAUGCCUAACACAUGCGAGUCGAACGAGACCUUCGGGUCUAGUGGCGCACGGGUGCGUAACGCGUGGGAACCUGCCCUUAGGUUCGGAAUAACUCCCCGAAAGGGGUGCUAAUACCGGAUAAUGUCUUCGGACCAAAGAUUUAUCGCCUUUGGAUGGGCCCGCGUUGGAUUAGCUAGUUGGUAGGGUAAAAGCCUACCAAGGCGACGAUCCAUAGCUGGUCUGAGAGGAUGAUCAGCCACACUGGGACUGAGACACGGCCCAGACUCCUACGGGAGGCAGCAGUGGGGAAUAUGGGACAAUGGGCGAAAGCCUGAUCCAGCAAUGCCGCGGGAGUGAUGAAGGCCUUAGGGUUGUAAAGCUCUUUUACCCGGGAUGAUAAUGACAGUACCGGGAGAAUAAGCUCCGGCUAACUCCGG